rnacentral:sRNA from 1 species
GUUUAUGGCACUCUUUAAAAAUCCAUAUCCACCUUGUGUGCAAUGUUUGUUGGGAAAGUCUUUUCUUUCCCUUCAUAAAUAUCAACCUAUAUCUUUAACAACAUUCGUCUGAUAACAUAUUAUGAAUAUACUUAAUUCAAAAUAUAACUUUCAACAACGGAUCUCUUGGCUCUCGCAUCGAUGAAGAACGCAGCGAAAUGCGAUACGUAAUGUGAAUUGCAGAAUUCAGUGAAUCAUCGAAUCUUUGAACGCAUAUUGCGCUCUUUGGUAUUCCGAAGAGCAUGCUUGUUUGAGUAUCAGUAAACACCUCAACCUCUCUUUUUUGAUAAAAAAAAGGGAGGGUGGACUUGAGCUAUCCCAACGACCUUCACCGGUAGGCGGGCGGCUUGAAAUGCAGGUGCAGCUGGACUUUUAUCUGAGCUAAAAGCAUAUCUAUUUAGUCCUCGUCAAACAGGAUUAUUACUUUUGCUGCAGCUAACAUAAAGGAUAAUUGUCCUCUUUGCUGACUGAUGCAGGAUUUUACGACACUUUAUGUGUUGUUCAACUCGAUCUCAAAUCAAGUAAGACUACCCGCUGAACUUAAGCAUAUCAAUAAGCGGAGGAAAAGAAACUAACAAGGAUUCCCCUAGUAACGGCGAGUGAAGCGGGAUGAGCUCAAAUUUGAAAUCUGGCUGGUUUACUAGUCCGAGUUGUAAUUUAAAGAAGCGUUUUCGGUGGCAGCCUGGGUAUAAAUCCUUUGGAAUAGGGUAUCAUAGAGGGUGAGAAUCCCGUCUUUGACCUAGUGCAUGCUACUAUGUGAUACGUUUUCAAAGAGUC